GAAGGAGCGGCACGGUGGUGGUGGCGGUGAUGGUGGUGGUGGAAAGAUUUUGUUCAAGCAUGUUGGCACCUCACUGGCAAAUACUUGCUCUAUGACCUCAGGCGCUCUGCAGCCUCCUUCCCAUGUCUGCACAAUGGAGGAAUGCAACUCCAGGACCUCUACUCUGCUUUCUCCCCCAAGGGACCGGAGACUGUCUAGGCUACGCACUAUAGUGAACUACUUAGCAACAUAUGCUGUUUGCAAUUAUCAAAGUCAUUUGACCUCCAUCCUUCCAGUUGUUCCUUACAACUCUCUCUGAAGAAUUAUAUAUAUUAUUAUGUCCCAUUUUAUAGAUGGGAACCUGAGGCCCAGAGACCCCAAGUCAUAUGUAUAAUAAAUAAGCAGUAC